rnacentral:rRNA from 1 species
AACGAGCGCUGGCGGCAUGCCUAACACAUGCAAGUCGAACGAUGCCUUCGGGCAUAGUGGCGCACGGGUGCGUAACGCGUGGGAAUCUGCCUUUCGGUUCGGAAUAACUCAGGGAAACUUGAGCUAAUACCGGAUAACGUCGCAAGACCAAAGAUUUAUCACCGAAAGAUGAGCCCGCGUAGGAUUAGCUAGUUGGUGAGGUAAAGGCUCACCAAGGCGACGAUCCUUAGCUGGUCUGAGAGGAUGAUCAGCCACACUGGGACUGAGACACGGCCCAGACUCCUACGGGAGGCAGCAGUGGGGAAUAUUGGACAAUGGGCGAAAGCCUGAUCCAGCAAUGCCGCGUGAGUGAUGAAGGCCUUAGGGUUGUAAAGCUCUUUUACCCGGGAAGAUAAUGACGGUACCGGGAGAAUAAGCCCCGGCUAACUCCGUG